UACGUAGGGGGCAAGCGUUGUCCGGAAUCAUUGGGCGUAAAGAGCGCGUAGGCGGCCCUGUAAGUCCGCUGUGAAAGUCAAGGGCUCAACCCUUGAAUGCCGGUGGAUACUGCAGGGCUAGAGUCCGGAAGAGGCGAGUGGAAUUCCUGGUGUAGCGGUGAAAUGCGCAGAUAUCAGGAGGAACACCGAUGGCGAAGGCAGCUCGCUGGGACGGUACUGACGCUGAGGCGCGACAGCGUGGGGAGCAAACAGG
rnacentral:rRNA from 1 species